UCACAUAAGAGCUUCCAUGCCACUAAAUA
rnacentral:sRNA from 1 species